rnacentral:rRNA from 1 species
UACGGGGGGGACAAGCGUUGUUCGGAAUUACUGGGCGUAAAGGGCUCGUAGGUGGCCAACUAAGUCGGACGUGAAAUCCCUCGGCUUAACCGGGGAACUGCGUCCGAUACUGGUUGGCUUGAGUUUGGGAGAGGGAUGCGGAAUUCCAGGUGUAGCGGUGAAAUGCGUAGAUAUCUGGAGGAACACCGGUGGCGAAGGCGGCAUCCUGGACCAAUACUGACGCUGAGGAGCGAAAGCCAGGGGAGCAAACGGG